rnacentral:rRNA from 1 species
AGUCAUAUGCUUGUCUUAAAGAUUAAGCCAUGCAUGUCUAAGUAUAAAUAGUAUACAGUGAAACUGCGAAUGGCUCAUUAAAACAGUUAUAGUUUAUUUGAUAAUUGAAUUAUACAUGGAUAACCGUGGUAAUUCUAGAGCUAAUACAUGCAGUAAAACCUGACUUUUUGGAAAGGUUGUAUUUAUUAGAUAUCAAACCAAUAUUCCUUCGGGUCUAUUGUGAUGAUUCAUAAUAACUGAUCGAAGCUUAGCUAGUCUAAGCUAAAUCAUUCAAGUUUCUGCCCUAUCAGCUUUCGAUGGUAGUGUAUUGGACUACCAUGGCAGUCACGGGUAACGGGGAAUUAGGGUUCGAUUCCGGAGAGGGAGCCUGAGAAACGGCUACCACAUCUAAGGAAGGCAGCAGGCGCGUAAAUUACCCAAUCCUGACUCAGGGAGGUAGUGACAAGAAAUAACAACUCGGGGCCUCACGGCUUACGAGAUUGCAAUGAGAACAAUUUAAA